CCUUCCCUCCAAGCCGCCCCCUCUUGGCUGUGGAUGUUGGGCUGUUUUGUCCCCUUGCUUCUCCGGGGGGACAGGCCUGAAAGACAGUGGCGAUGCCGUAGUCAACCCCCGAGCGUAUGGGUGUCUUCCGCUCUCUAGGCUUGAUUGGCAUCCGCCGUCCUCCUGCAACUGCAUGCAGUGUUUGACUCC
rnacentral:misc_RNA from 1 species